UACGGAGGGGGCUAGCGUUGUUCGGAAUUACUGGGCGUAAAGCGCACGUAGGCGGCUUGGUAAGUUAGAGGUGAAAGCCCGGGGCUCAACCCCGUAAUUGCCUUUAAGACUGCCUCGCUUGAACGUCGGAGAGGUGAGUGGAAUUCCGAGUGUAGAGGUGAAAUUCGUAGAUAUUCGGAAGAACACCAGUGGCGAAGGCGGCUCACUGGACGACUGUUGACGCUGAGGUGCGAAAGCGUGGGGAGCAAACAGG
rnacentral:rRNA from 1 species